UACGUAGGUGGCAAGCGUUGUUCGGAAUUACUGGGCGUAAAGCGCGUGUAGGCGGUCCGCCAAGUCUGAUGUGAAAGCCCUGGGCUCAACCCAGGAAGUGCGUCAGAUACUGGUAGACUGGAGUGGCGGAGAGGAUGGCGGAAUUCCCGGUGUAGAGGUGAAAUUCGUAGAUAUCGGGAGGAACACCUGUGGCGAAGGCGGCCAUCUGGACGUCAACUGACGCUGAGACGCGAAAGCAUGGGGAGCAAACAGG
rnacentral:rRNA from 1 species